CAGCAGCGAGGAAUCUUGCGCAAUGGGCGAAAGCCUGACGCAGCAACGCCGCGUGAGUGAAGAAGGCCUUCGGGUUGUAAAGCUCUUUUACCGGGGAAGAAGAUCUGACGGUACCCGGUGAAUAAGACACGGCUAACUACGUGCCAGCAGCCGCGGUAAGACGUAGGUGUCGAGCGUUAUCCGGAUUUACUGGGCGUAAAGCGUACGUAGGCGGCUCCGCAAGUCCGCCGUGAAAUCUCCCGGCUCAACCGGGAGCGGUCGGUGGAAACUGCGGAGCUGGAGGGGCGUAGAGGCAAGCGGAAUUCCCGGUGUAGUGGUGGAAUGCGUAGAUACCGGGAGGAACACCAGUGGCGUAAGCGGCUUGCCAGGCGCAACCUGACGCUAAGGUACGAAAGCGUGGGGAGCGAACCGACUUAGAUACUCGGGUAGUCCACGCCGUAAACGAUGGAUGCUAGACGUGGGGGGUAUCGAUCCCCUCCGUGUCGCAGCUAACGCAUUAAGCAUCCCGCCUGGGGACUACGGCCGCAAGGCUA
rnacentral:rRNA from 1 species